AAUUAGUUUUCAUAUAAUUGUAAAUUCAUAUAAUAAAAGAACAACCAAUUAAAGGCCUCAUGUACAUGCAGGGACGACCUAUGCACAUGUUAAUCUGGGCUAUAGUUCAGGUGAUUUGAUUUUUUAUAGCCAACGUUAAUACCCUAGCCCACCCAAGCAUACCUCACACACCUCCUCUCAGGAGCUGCUUCACUCUCUUUAGCGCAGCUGCUAUAUCUACUUGCUCAUCAACGCAGCUGCUAUAUCUACUCGCUCAUCAGUGCCCAUGCACUCAACCACAACCUUUGCUCAUC
rnacentral:lncRNA from 1 species